rnacentral:rRNA from 1 species
GUGUCAGCCGCCGCGGUAAUACGUAGGUGGCAAGCGUUACUCGGAAUCACUAGGCGUAAAGCGCAGGUAGGCGGUUUGAUAAGUCUCUUGUGAAAGCUCCCGGCUUAACUGGGAGAGGUCAAGGGAAACUGUCAGGCUAGAGUGUGGCAGAGGAAGCUGGAAUUCCCGGUGUAGCGGUGAAAUGCGUAGAUAUCGGGAGGAAUACCUAUGGCGAAAGCAGGCUUCUGGGCCGUCACUGACGCUGAGCUGCGAAAGCUAGGGGAGCAAACAGGAUUAGAAACCCCUGUAGUCC